AGCCAAGUCAAAGCCCCAGGCCAGGGGCAGGACUCACACGGAUUUCAGCAGGCUUUGGACCCUAGACUCUUGGAACGAGUUUCAAAUUCCAGCAGCUUUUUUUGUUUAUCCAAGGGAGAUAAACUAAGUGGCCUGCUGAAUACCCCGUGGGCUUUCAGACGUGAUCUGGGAAACAACAGGUCUUUGCUCAGAAGGGACGUGAGACGUCCAGUGACACUUUCCAUGAGAACCAAGAUAAAAGAGGACCUUUUCCUUCCCUCCCGAACACUGCUGCCUGACAAGGACUGCCUGGUUCCUGCCUUUCAGCACUGCCACGAAGAGCAAGCGCAGAGCACCCAGAAGCGAACCAGGGAUGGAGCACAGGGGGCUGGGAGCCAUUUGCUAUGCCGCUCUUCCAGGGAAAGCUCAAAAUCCUUCAACAAAAGGAAGUACACACAAUCUGGGUAAGCAUGGCAGCUUUGGGGUGGGUUAUUAGCUAGCAGAGGCUCCUUUUCCAAGGUGACAGGGCUAUUCUGGAGAAUACAGAGGCAGAAAGGGGCCAGCAGAGGCUGGUCUGAAAGUGCCUCCCCCUCUGGCAUGCUGCAGGAUGAAGCAGGGUGCUGGGCAACCUGCAACACCUGUGCACACCCUCCCUAGGAUCCUGGUGCGUGGUAGCUCACAGCAGCCACAGGGAGGAGGGCUAGGUUUUUCACAACCAACUGUAUGGGUAAUGAAAACUUGUUCUUGAAUGAGAACAAAUGUAGAUCUUGCUUUCUUGGUGAGGUUUGGGUUUUUAUUUUUACAGGUUCCAUAAUAUUUUGGCAAAAAAAAAAAAAAAAAGCUAAUAUUAGUUAAAUACUUCAAUGUGUUUCAUAUCCAAAGAUUUUCCUUGCCAAAACAUACUCUCAUGUAAUUGCAAGUGGCUUUAUUUGUGCUGCAUAACACUGCAAGAUAACAGAGAGCUCCAAACAAGACAGCCUGGGCAUUAAGCUACCAUGCAAGAGAUUGGGGAUCUCAGCAUUGCAGCAAAACUCCUCAGAGAACAUCUCAUUGGAAGCAUCUCUAUGACAACUCCCCAUCAGCGAUGAGAACGGCAGUGGUCAUUUAUGUUGUCUGCUAAUAUGCUGGGUCAACAACAGGACAUUUUUCUCAUGCAAGUUUCAACUGCUAACACCAGAAAAAUGAUCCAUCCCACUGUCUGAUAAGCAACAAUAUAACUCACUUGGAAAGACCGUAAUCACUUCAGGGUGGCAGGACUACAUACAUCACUCCUCCAGGACAGCUAUCAUCAAGGCAUCAAAGGACACGUUCCCUCACCUGGACUGCCUGGCCAGAUGAGCCAUGUUCGAGACCAGGCGAUUGCCUGCUCUGGAGAGCAGAUCUGCACCUAGAUGAAGACAUAACUCUGCAGCAGAGAUCACUGGGUGCUUUCCUCAGAGGUGCUCAAGCCAAGUACUACUCAAGAGAGGCUGGUACCACAGAUGGUGAAUGCAUGUUUAGAAGCCCACAACCUUCCCAGCAAACAGGAUUCAUUGUUUGUAUAUGACGCAGAUGCACUGGAGAAUACAAGUGGAGAACCUCUGAAAGGUAUCUGACGAGAAUUACCUUAGAGAGUGGAUGAAUCAUCUUUCAGUACCUAUUAUCUCAACUGCGGUUCUGUUCACAAAAAGCAAGUGAACCAUAGCCAACAUGACACUUCAUGCGUAUCGCACUCCUUCGUUUCAGAUCUCACUUGCACUCAGCAUUUAUAAAGAAGCUUAGGUUUUCCAGACAAUCAGUGCCACACUGUCAGUGCAAAAGCCAUACCACAUCCUUACUUGCGUACACACCGGGGCUCAUUACCAACAGCUCUGGUACUUAAUGCCAGUAACUAUUUUACUGGACCCUGUUGCACCAGUUAUGCACAAAAACAUCUGUAUGUGCAUUCUGAGCUGGCAUGCUGCACAUGAUGCUCACCAUACGCUAGAACUGCUGUAGAAGAUUUGGUAGGAGACCAAAUCCUAGAGACAUAAGCUCUUCAAGGAGCCUUGAGGGAAUGUUAGAACACAUCCUCACAACCCUCUAAUGAAAAUUAACAGCAAAAACCUGCUGAGACCAGCAUUACCAAGCACUGAGUAGGCCUGGCACUCUGUUCUGCAGCAGUUAUUUCCCUACAAACAGCAGGUUUGUAGUGUCCGGUACUGUGUGUGUGACACACCACACACAACACUUUCACCUGAAGGCUCAGUACCGGACAGUGCUGGUAUCCAGAUGCAGUGAGGCAUUUAUUCAGUCUCCAGUGACUUAAGAGUUUCAUUUCUGAUCAUCCUUCUCAAAUCAAACACAGCAACACACAAACUUUAAUUAAAUAAUUCAGGAUUGUAGUCAUCUAUCCACUUAUACUCUGCAGACACAUCAGCAUGCAUUCAAUACGCUUUCCUAGUAAAUUAUAUCGCUGAAAAUAAGAGCUUCUCCAGUUUCAGAAGGCUGCUAUUAAACAUGGCCAAGGGGACUCUGCAUCCUCUGACAAAGCAGUUCUAGCUCUGGAAUCAUCUCUAACAAAGGAGGGAUAAACAUGUAACUAAUUAUUUUCCUGUAAGUCAGUACCAUAAAAUUGAUUAGA